UAGAUGGUGGUGCUUCGCACGAUUUUAUUUCUUCUACACUUGUGAGCAUGUUACGCAUCCCAGUGGACACCACAAGAAGAUUUUCAGUACUCGUCGAAAAUGGAGUGAGGGUGCAGGGAGAAGGUCUUUGCCAUAAUGUGAAGUUGACUAUACAGGGAAUCUCCUUACAAGCGGCUUUUCAUACCAUGGAUCUGGGUAGCGCAGAUGUAGUCUUGGGGUUGGCAUGGCUUAAAAAUUGGGAGGCAUUUCUUCAAAUUUUCAGAAAUUAACCAUGAAAUUCACACUACAUAGGAAAACUAUUUUGUGGCAAGGGGACCCUUCUUUGUCGAAGAUGGUGGUUUCGUUGAAAUCCAUGUUGAAGCUCUUACGGGAUGGAGAUAUGGGAUUUAUGGUUGAAUUUGGAAACAUUCUGGUGAAUGCUAGUGAACCAGAGGAACCCAUGAGGGUUGGUUAGAUUUCAGCUGAUAGUGAUACCUUGCCUAAAGAGCUACAGAAUCUCUUGCAGCAAUUUGAAUCAAUCUUUACGCUUAAGAGUGGUUUACCCAUCUCUCACAAGCAUGACCAUGCUAUUCGUCUUCAGGAAGGAGCAUCACCACCUAAUAUUCGCCCUUACAGUCCAGAGAUGGGAUAUCUUGGGUCACCUUGGUAGAACUCCAAACUUUAUGCUACAACCACCAAAGGAGGAUUUAGUUGAAAAGGCAAGUACAUGUUUACUUUCUUUUUCUUCCUGUACUGUCACCAUUUAGAAACUGAAACUCUUAAGCCUUGCACUUCUGUUCCCAUGGGGGCUGUAGAAGUUGAUGUACACAACCUUACUGCUCCAUUGUGUGUUAAUGAAAUAUAUUGUCUGAACCUAUAAUAUCCAUUCUCUACUGAAGCAACCUUACUGAUGUGCCAAGGGUUGCCUUCUAAUAUGCAUUAACAUCGGAAUUUGUACCCUGAGACUUUCCUACUUGGCAAGGUGAUUUUCUUAAUGAACUCAUAUAUUGCUCAGGAUUCAUGGCGCAGCCUUGUGUCAUUUGACCCUGCAGAAAGGUUAAGUUAGGAUGAUCAAGCUUGGUGAACUUGCAUGUGGUAAAAACCAGUUGUGAUGAUUCAGCAUUGCACAUGCUGUACAAGGAUGGCUUAUGUAUGUAGUCAACAAGAAAACAACUCGGGUUUCGAAAAACCAGGCCAGACAACUAAGAGAACUAGUCUAGACAGCGGUGAAAUCACCAUUCUUUUUUCCUUCUGUUCAUCAAAAUUCUGUUCGCGCAUCUGUAAUGUGUAGGAGAUUAUCAUGAAAAUAAAUGUUAAUCCUCCUUGACACUU